CUCUUGGGGGCAAUCCCAGGUAAUCUCUGCCCUAUGAAUUAUUUUAAUGGCCGCAGUAUCUUGACUGUGCAAAGGUAGCAUAAUCAUUUGCUUCUUAAUUAGGAGCUGGAAUGAAAGAGGCGACGAAAUCUAGACUAUUUAAGUUUUAGUAUAAAUUGACAAGCGGGUCAAAAGGCCCGCAUGCACCAGGGGGACGAUAAGACCCUAUAAAACUUUACUCUCAGGCCGGUGGCUAGCAGGAAGUGGGGUGUUUGAGAGUUUAACUGGGGCGGUUAUUAUAGAAACAAUUAUACAUAAAAUAUAUUAUAUAGAUUGGUAGAACUCUCUAGAGAAAUAGAACAAGUUACUUUAGGGAUAACAGCGUGAUCCCCCCAGAGAGUCCUGAUUGGCGGGGGGGCUUACGACCUCGAUGUUGAAUUGGGAAUUCCUAUAUAAGCAAACAUAUAUAUAGACAGUC
rnacentral:rRNA from 1 species